CCGGAUCCCAAAACAUGUAUGAGAUGUGGAAGACUUUCUCUUGUGGACUGGGCUUGUUACUGUCAGCACAUGGUAUGCCAGCAGUGACACCUUUUAGAGAAGGAGGUGCAGAAAGGAUGCCGUUGGAGCCUCUGUGAGAAUACAGUUUUUGGCACCAGGUUGUAUACGUUGUGCCCAGGUGGUUGCACAUCAAACAGUUCAACAUCGCUGUAGUUGGAGCGAGGGUCGCUGCGCCCUGAUGGUCAUCAGCAGCAGGGCAGGAUGUUCAGCUCUCUGAACUGGGGCCUGGAUUGUGUGUACCUUGGCUCCUCACCUAUCUUCUCAGUCCUCCCCCUGUGGAAGCCCCUGAUAUCAGAGACAAAAUGGUGCUGAUGUCUACUGGUUAUGAUUCAGAUGUUAAUGUACUAGUAAUCCAUGACGUUCCUUCUGCAUGCAAACAAACAAUGCUGGACGAACAGUCCAGGGCCUGUGACAUUGCCAAACACACCGUGGAAGGUUUAGCUUCUCUUGUCCUUUCUGGUUUUCUCUGGUGGCAUCACCCGAGUUCCUCAUUUGCUGGUUUUCCUUCUUUGAAUUAGGGCAAUAAUGCUGAAUUUACUGUAAUUCAUGGUAUUUUCAUGUCUGUGCGCGUGAGUUCCCUGAACAACCAGGGUUUUCCAAGAAUCUUAAAAAUAUUCACUUCUUUGCUCACAAGGGUUGAAACCUUGAGAGAGUGUGUAUAUAUCUCCCUAUCCAUGUCUGAUGAGCCUCUUGAAAUACCCAGUUAAAUGAGCUUUGGAGAUUGCUAGUGACAAAAAUUAUUGUUAUGGAUUUGUCUCAUUUCCAUGCCAAAAAUUUAAUACAUCCGUACCUGUCCUUGAUGUCAGCUGUGCUUCUCAAAAGCUGUUCAAAAGCAACGUUCCCGUUUAUGUACUAGAGAAUUACAUUCUCGGAGCAGUCCUGAAUACUUCCCGGUGGCCAUCGGCAGGAGAAAGUGAAUUUAUGCAAAGCGAGAGAGACUUAUCGGGCCUGUGCAGAUUUGAUUUUGAGAAUGAAGUGGCAUAGAAGAUAGAGCUGGAGCUGUAGAAAAGUGCUAGCUUUUAAAAAAAAAAAUUAAAAAAAAAAAUCCCAAACCAGUCGCAUUCCUUCUAAAUUAAAAGCAGCUGAAAUGUAGUUAAAGUUUUGCUGUGAUGCCACCUACGGGAUUUCUGUGGGGAAUACAACCCUGGCCAGUGUUUGUAUUUUUAAUCUUUGGGUUGAAGUUUUGUUUUAGAACCACAAGAGCAUGAUGUCCCCUUGAGUCAAUCAAAACAAAUGUUUCCCACUUGGUCCCUAGCUCUUUCUGUAUUGAAUUCAAGGAAGGUUAUAUUCCCUCUCAGAAACUUUGGCAUGCUGCCUUCAGCAAAUACAAAUCUGAGCCAAACACCUCGUACGACUUAGGAACCGCUUUCAGUUCCUGUUACAGUCCGCAGAAGCAUUUCUAAAAAGGCCCUUAGCGCAUACGAGAUCCGUCUUGUAAAAAAAUCACCACAGUAAUACAAUCUACGAAAAAUCUUUUGAGUUGCUGAAGACAUAACAGCAGUAUCCUCUGAAAAUGAUACAAAUUUGGGGGAGUAGAAGAUUUCUGUAUUAAAGGGUUAUCAUUUUGAAGCCAUAAAUAAAAACAAACCUUAAACAAAAAAUAAAUCCAAAGUUUUAACACAAGUAGUCCAAAGUGAACAUCCUGAACCCUAGAGGAGUGAUCUGGGUGCUAAAUGUUCACAGUAGAGAUAGCUGGGUUACGGCUGUGAGUCACCAAGCUGUGAAUUUGAGGCAAGACCUUUCAUUUGACACUGCAGGAAGGGCCAUAACAUACAAGGAAAAAUACAUACCUUUGAGAAAUAUGUGUGUAGUACAUUUUCAACUCACUUGACUCUUUUCAACCACAGAGCUAUCGUAAUAGUAAUACACAGAGCUUUUGUUCUUGUCAAGAGGGGGGCUGCUGGAUGUUUAGCUACUUUAAUUCUGACAGGUAGGGACUGGACAAAUUCAACCUCCUUGCCGAGUCGGUGCCAGUGUCAAAUACCUCCCUGGUGGAUGCAGCACAGCGCUCCGUGGGAUGGCUACAGCUUCUCCAAGCUUUAUUAUGGAAUCACACAAUGGUUGAGGCGGCAAGAGACCUCUUCAGAUCAUCUAAUCCAACCCCUGCUCAAAGCAGGGCCACCUAGAGCCCAGGACUGUGCCCAAUCAUGUGUUGAAUGUCUUCAAGGAUGGAUGAUCUAUUCAGCUUCUCCAGGCAACCUUGACCUUCUCCAGGCUUGACCAGUCUCACAGUAGGAGUGUUUCCUUGUGUUCAGAUGGAAUUUGGGGUUUCUCAUUUGUGCCUGUGGCCUCUUGUCCUGUCAGCAGGCUCUGCUGAGACGACCCUGGCUCACGCUUCUCCGUUCCCUCCUUUCAAGCAUCCACACACAUUGAUGUGAUCCCUCCCCCUGCUUCCUCCUCGAGCCUUCUCUUCUCCAGGCUGAACAGUUCCCACUCUCCCAGCCUUUCCUCAAGGGUGAGAUGCCCCAGCCCCUUCAUCACACUGGCAUUUGCUGGCUCCCUCCAUGCUCAUGGGUGCAACCUGUCCGGGCCCAUGGACUGAUGUAUGUCCACUGCGUUUAAAUGUGCCCUAACUGGGUGCUCCUCCACCAAGGAGGAGUAAGUCUUCCCUGCUACAGACCUCCCCUCUUGUCUCAGGCACGUGGAGUUUCUGAAGCCUUGUCUUAGUAAAGUCUGAGGUGAAGGCGGCCUUGAGUACCUUGGCCUGGUCCAUCUCCUGUGUCACCAGCCCCUCCCUGCUGCGUUUCGCAGAGGGGCCACGUUUUCCCUAGUUUUCCUUUUUAUGUACUUGUCAAAAUGUUUUUUGGUCGCCCUUCGCGUCCCUUGCCAGAUUAUGAAUGUGUCCUUGGAAGACUGGCAUCUGUCAAUAAUAAUGUAAGUCUAUUGCGGUACGCAGUAAAAAAGUUAUCAAAGAUCAGCAGCAGCUGCACACGCGUUUACUAAGAAUAAAUGUUCUGGCUAUGGUCUAGUAUGAAACAUCUACUCUGCUGUUAAAAAAAAUCAGAGUAUGGCGGGACAACACAGUUGCUACACGCAUGCCGCCUUUGUCUUCACCUGGAUCAGCUCGUGUCUGAUGUACAACAACAGUGCCAUACAAAGGAAACUCAGGUGAACUGUUCCGUUUUGGAAAUUUUAUUAUGGCAUUGAGAACAAAUACUGAAUAAUUAGUUCAUUUCCGGAGUUCGUUCCGGUGGUGUUAACUCGGCCUGCUUAUUGACGUGGGUAUUUGCUAUUUUAUUUUAUUUACUUGUUGAGCGCAAGCACGAGCGUGCUUCUUCUAAUUGCAUAGCAGAAAAUGAACAUGAGCCACAGUGGAUCACGAGUUACACCAUCAGAGCAAGACGGGUCACAGUAAUGGUGACAUUUUGUGCCUCAAGUGGCGCUUCUGUACUACCCAGAUCCUUGAUGCAAUAACAAUGGUGUGAAAAGCUCAAAGAGAAUUUCUGAGUCUCUGGCCUUUGCCCACACCGAUGUUGUUUGCCUCUGAAGUUUUUAAACGCUUGCCAAGAGAAACUUCUCUCUGUGAACACAACAGAUGUGCUAGUACCGGAUUGUAAUCAACCCCUUGCAUACUUUUGAGUAUGCUUAAACCUGGCUAAAAAAAAAGAAAAAAAAAUAAUCACUCUAAGAAUAAUGAAACGCGCUCUUGAGGAGUUACCCCGUGCACUGUUCCUUAGGGCAGUGAGGGCAGCUCCCCUCUGACCGGGCAGGCAUUCCUAGAGCACAAUCUUUCUUACCCUACAACACAUAUUUAAAAUACACCACCAUCUGACUCGCCCUGAAAAUGCUUAUUUCUCUCCGCGGGCAAGAUAGGAACCACGGGUGGCUGGUUCAGCUGCAGACCUCUGUGGUUUGAAUAUUUAAAGGGUAGGCGGGUUAACCCAGCUUCAGGCUCAGCAGGGCGGACGCACGCGCGCACGCGCUUGACCCCAGCUUUCCCACAGCAGAGUCUCAGGCAUCGGAUUUUAUAAAAUAAUUAAUUUAAGUGGAAGGUACAGCAGGAAGGAGAGCCUGGGCCGGGUGCCUCCAAAGAGAGGGACCCUGAAAAAAGAAAUCCCUGGGCAAUUAUACCCUUGUGAUCCAUACACCCGCCCCCCACGUGCUCUUCACACAUUGUCCACGCCUCUUUUAGUCCAAUGGUGACUUUUAGUCUGGGGGUCUUCUAACAUCUUAUUGGAUUCUUUUUCUGUGUCCAGGCAGGCAGGCUCUUACCCUGUUGAUUUGCAGUUUCAGAUGAGGGUUGGAGCCUCCUUAUCUUCUGGUUUACACUCCAUGUGCCCCUGCAGGCACUGGCAGAAUGUGGAGAACUGAAGAGUCCCAGAGUUGGUAAACAUGCUGUCAAAACAUCAGUGUGAUAUCAACAUUUUCCCCAUAGUAAAAGACUAAAUGCAGCACUGUACCAGCUGCUAGGAAAAUUACUAAGAAAAAUAAGUCUAUCAUGGCCUAUAGGCUUCAGCAAAGCUAGCUACUCAUGCUAAGUAAAGCCAGGCAAACAGCACAAAUCAAACCAUAUUAUAAUCCUAAGUAAUUUAUUCUAAUUAAAACUUACGUAUUUACGCUAAACAACUAAUAUCACUCAACACUUGAGCUUGCUGGUGAUGGUGCAUCCCCAUUAUAUCCCAUAUGGAUGGAAAUAGUUUCCAUCUCUCUUUCCUGUUUGUAAUAAACAUUCUGUAUUUGGUUUCAUUCCGCUGACUCUUUCUGCCUGUAGUUGCUCCUGUUGUAACCUUCUAAAGCUAGAAAGACAGUAUUUCGUAAUUAAUACAUUUCAGGAUAUGAUUAGAGGCCAUAAUUUCACUGGCUUUGACUGAAGAGCUGAACACGUGUGAAAUUGUGAUUGGAGUGUUUAGAGUCACAACUCUCUAUACCCUGUUAAUACCGUGGUGGUCAUUAGUUGCAAAAUAAUGAGGGCAAACCUUGUACUACGCAGAAGUAGGUAUCUGUUACUGUGAUACCAUCUUUUAAAUGCAUCAGGAACUGCUAGCUGUGUUGAGAUAGAUAAACUCUGGAAGAUAGCUAACCGAAUUCCUUCUUUUUUACAGUGUGUCAUAAGCAGGGGAAGUCCACGUCUGGCAUCAGAAUUCAAACGGAAAGUUGUGAAACGACAGCAGUUGUUUCAUUUGGAGAAAAAAAAAACACAACUAAAAAAAAUAAAAAAGACUUGGAAAACUUAAUUCGUGACUUGCAAUGUGGGAUUCAUCAGCAGAACCACAGAUAGAUACACUAGCGAUGCUAACACACAAGCUUCCACUGCAGGUUGGAGUCAAGAGAGGUAUUUUACUUUUAAUUAAAUACUCUGCAAUUUUCAAGUCGAUUUGAUGGGACACAGGAAAAGAGCUGCUGUGGUAAUAAAACAUUUCUAUACACGCACUACUGUUCAUUUGUACUGACAAGUAAAUGUUCAAGUCACAGUUAGUGCAACUAAUGGGAAAAAAAAAAAAAAGCUGGGAGCUAUGUGCUGAUAGGAAUUGUGGAAAGACUCCAAGAAUAUGGAAGAAGAGAUAGGCGUCUGUUUUCAUAUUGUUAAAAUGACUGUGACUAACUCUGCAAGCAAUUCUCUAAACUUUUCCAGUGCCCAUAGUCUUCGCUAUGCUGCAGUGAAGGACACGGCAACAAGGAGGAGCGAUGAAGGGACAUGGCAUGUAAUUUACGUAGUGCCUUGUUUUAACCAUAAGCUGAAGAAAUAAUAUCAGCAAUUCCAAAUAGCCUUUUUUUGGGGGGAGUAAAAACAAUAGCAACACAAAACCCUAGAAAAUUCAGUCAUAAAAGCUUUGUAAAUGCCAACUUAUGGUUUUGUGGUGGUAUCCCAUGCCUUUAAGAAAAUCAAGUUUCAAUCAAAUGAGAUUUAUGAAAACAGGGAAUCUAAACCUACUGGUUUCCAUUGCACAGAGAAGGCCACAUCUGAUGAUUUUUUUAAUACAUUAUUUUAUCCAACACUUUAGUUACUUGCGGGCGCGCUAGUAUUGAUAAAACCUGUGUAGCGCAGCACUGGAAUUAAGGAUCCAUGUUGUCUUAGAGCGUACUAGAAGCAGUCAGAAAUC